CUACGAGUCGCUGCAGUGGGGAAUAUUGCACAAUGGAGGAAACUCUGAUGCAGCAACGCCGCGUGGAGGAUGACACUUUUCGGAGCGUAAACUCCUUUUAUAUAGGAAGAAGAUGACGGUACUAUAUGAAUAAGCGCCGGCUAACUCCGUGCCAGCAGUCGCGGUAAUACGGAGGGCGCAAGCGUUACUCGGAAUCACUGGGCGUAAAGAGCGUGUAGGCGGAUUAAAAAGUCAGAAGUGAAAUCCUAUAGCUUAACGAUAGAACUGCUUCUGAAACUCUUAAUCUAGAAUAUGGGAGAGGUAGAUGGAAUUUCUGGUGUAGGGGUAAAAUCCGUAGAGAUCAGAAGGAAUACCGAUUGCGAAGGCGAUCUACUAGAACAUUAUUGACGCUGAGACGCGAAAGCGUGGGGAGCAAACAGGAUUAGAUACCCCAGUAGUC
rnacentral:rRNA from 1 species